rnacentral:rRNA from 1 species
AUUGAACGCUGGCGGCAUGCUUUACACAUGCAAGUCGAACGGUAACAGGCCGCAAGGUGCUGACGAGUGGCGAACGGGUGAGUAAUGCAUCGGAACGUGCCCAGUCGUGGGGGAUAACUACUCGAAAGAGUAGCUAAUACCGCAUACGAUCUAUGGAUGAAAGCGGGGGACCGUAAGGCCUCGCGCGAUUUGAGCGGCCGAUGUCAGAUUAGGUAGUUGGUGGGGUAAAGGCUCACCAAGCCAACGAUCUGUAGCUGGUCUGAGAGGACGACCAGCCACACUGGGACUGAGACACGGCCCAGACUCCUACGGGAGGCAGCAGUGGGGAAUUUUGGACAAUGGGCGCAAGCCUGAUCCAGCAAUGCCGCGUGCAGGAAGAAGGCCUUCGGGUUGUAAACUGCUUUUGUACGGAACGAAACGGCUCUGGUUAAUACCCGGGGCUAAUGACGGUACCGUAAGAAUAAGCACCGGCUAACUACGUG